AAGGAAGGGCUGCAGGGCCCAGGAGGAGACCUGAGAAAGCAGAGCUGAGAUAGGGAGCUUGUACCCUGGGUCUGAAAGGAGAUGGUAGCAGGGGCAAAGUGUCUCUAGGCAGCUGCCAGAGAUGCUUGGGGAUACCCUGAGAAAGCUCCUCAGCAACAGGCUGAGAAAAGCUGCACAGAGACAAGACUGAAGGGCGCAGUUCCAGGAUAGACGCUUUCAUGCAGUGUUCGGAAGAUGAGACUGAGGAAGAAAGAGAGAGAAGCUGUGACAAAUUGACUUACUGCUAUAUAGAAAUGUACAUUCUCUGGAUGCACCCAGACUAACACGGCUGCUACUCUGAAACCAGGGAAAAGCUUAGUUCUGCAGAGUGACUUCUUCAGGAGGCGGUUACAACAGACUCACCAAGAGCUGGUUUCUGAAAGGCUAAUCAAUCACGGUUAUCAACAGUCCUCUACCAUUAGAUGUAAGUGGGGGCCAAAAAUGUGACUAGAGGAGCUGAGGAUAGCAAGAUAGUUGAGGGAUGAUUUACACCAACUCAUGAUCUGUUUUGCUGUUCCAGACUAUUGGGCUCAUCAGUUUAUUCAACUGACUUUUUAAAUGGACUCAUUUUUUCUGACUUUGGAAAAGGUGGCAAGAAUCUAAUUGUGCUGGGAUGGGGGCAGAGGGGAAAUCAAAUAGUCAUUGUCUGACUCUGGCAGCAGAAGACAUGAUCUCAGGAAGACCUCAGUGGGCAAUUCUACGGCAGUGACUCUUUUGGUUGAAUUAGAUAUCAGUCAUUUACACGUAAAAUACCCAUUGUUAUAAAACCUGUGACUCUGCACAAUCCAGUGUGGGAUGUUUAGUAGUUUCUUAUCCAGAGGGACAGAUGUUAGAGAAAAUUGUUUAGAUAUGCGCCUCUAGUUCAGAUUAAACAUUCCACGACACAUCUCCACAUGGUAAUUAGAACUUGGGAUCCCUCUUGAUAGACUGCUGUGUAUACAUUCUCUGGACCAAACUGUAGAUUACUAGCUCCCCCGAUGGGAUUUUUUUUUCUAAAUCACAGUUCUGUUUCAUUUUUAUGUUGCUUGCUAGAUCAAGUUUUUUAAAGCUGUGUGGUUCUUUUUCAGGCAGCAUGAGACCAGGAAUUUUUACCAGUGUCGAGUUUUUGCAAGUUUUCUGCCUACCGUAAGCAAAACUCAGCAAAUCAAGGGUGAUUCAUCUUCAAACAGCAAGUGAUUUAAACCAAGCAAUGCCUUUUGAUUUAUGAUAAUGGGGAAAGAUUUCAAAGUGGGGAGAGGAUUGGCUGAAAAUUCAUACAGCACACAUUUUUAUAAGAGGCAGCAUUAUAUUCAUGCACUCAACUAAUUGUAUAUUAUGGGUUUUAUUUAUUUUAAAAGUUAUUUAGUGAAUUUAAUGCCAGUGAAUGAUUGACAGCCCUGGAAACAAGUCUGCUAUUAGAACACAUGAGAGCCGUGUCAGUGAAAAUUUCCUACGCUGCCCUGCUAUCAUGCCUCAAGUCUGACACAAAAGGACCACCUCUAGGGCUGAUGGGGGGCACUCAGUCUAAUGCCUUGAUUCAGCAUAGCACUUAUGUGCCCGGUUACACAUGCGUACACUUAAGCACAUGCUCAACUUUAUUGCUGAGGCUGGGCUUAGCAUCAUUUAACAUAUGUAAGGUUACCAAUCCAAAGUGUUUAAAAAAAAAAAUUAGUCCCCCCAAAACAGUGGUUCUCAAACUUAGUUGAUUGGGUCCCCCUUCUUUGUGUUUGUAGUCAUUUAUGCUCCCUUCCCCCCCCUCCCACAAUACAUAUACCACCACCCAGCUCUGAAGGCAGAGCAGUGGCUGCUGGCUGGGUGCCAGCAGCAGCACAGAAGCCAAGGUGGUAUGUGAAAAGUGUUAUUUGUCAAUAUCACUUUUCACAGCAGACUUAGCGCCCCAUUGCCACCCUUACUUCUGGGCUGCUGCUGCCCACCACAGGGAUGACAGCUGGAGCCCCACUGCCUCCAGGUGAGGGACUUGUGGGAGGAGAGCCUGAGCCUGGGUUCCCUCCCUGUUGGAUAUUGAGGGGGUGGUGGAAGGAGAAGCUGGGUGGCAGGACUCUGGCAGUCCCCUUAUCCCUACCUCCCGGGUGUGCAUGGCCCUUCUGCAUGAGCCCCUGCCACCUGGGACUGACAGGAUCACUGGGGAGGGGGACAGGAGGGACUGCAGGCAGAAGGGCUGGGGAGGGGCCCCCACUUGCUCUAGCUCAGGGCCCCACAACUCCCUAAUCUGCCUCCGGGGGCAUGUCUAGUGGUUGGCACAGGAGUCAGUAGCCAGUAAUUAGAGCCCAGAGUUAGAGACCAGCGCUGAGGGUCAGAGCCAAAGUCAGAGGUCAGGAAGUGGACCUGAGGGUCAGGGUCAGGGUCACAUUAUCUGAAGUGGGAGAGAGGCUGGGAACAAGCAAGAGCCAUCACUACCAUGGGCAAAAGCUCUGAGCCUUUAUUGAACUGUUGCUGUGUUAAGAGCCCGUCUGCUGAUUCUUCCAACCAAUCAGGCGAUGUAGCCAAUCAAGCAGCCAACUAUUGUGCUUGCUAGUUUGCCCAGAGACUGACUCUGCUGCAGGCCCUGAUUCCUGACAGCCUGAGCCUAAGCCGGACCCAGCUUGCUUUCAUGCAAGUCCGGACCUAAGAAGUUAUCCAUACUGCUUCGUCCUGGCUUGAUGAACAAGAUGUGCUUUUAGAUCGGGGUAUAAUCUACAUACUGAGCGCACCCCAUCUCGGACUGUUUCCCUGCGCCACUGCCAGCAGCUUCACAAAUGAAGUGCCAGAUUAGUAAAUCUUCUGCAAAACUCUGCAUGUGGGAGUUUUCAGAGUGAACGAGGAACUGCCUAGGACUACCCCCUUUGAUAACAGAUAUGAAUGGAACCCCUUGGGUAUUCCUUCCCAUCUCUCUCGUGGUCUGCAGUUGUCCACAAAACCUCAUAGUACAAUGGCACCUAAGUCUUUUGACAGCUUCAAAAGACUCCUCAUGGACAUAAUAUCUUAGUCCAUUACCAGGACGUCAUCAUCCAUUGAGACCAACACAGUCUCCAUUCUACCCAAGGACCUGAAAACCAAUUGAAAGGAAUCAAGGGAAAAUCAAGAAUUGUAGAUAAUACCAGUGCAGAUAAUUGCCACCACCUUCUCAAUUAUUUCCCCCAAAGAGAGCACGUUAGGGAUGGGGAAUAGCUGGAAAGAUGAUAGUAUAACAAGAUGGCAUUUUAAGCAGCUGGGACCUAACGACUUUGCUUCAAGGAAGCAUGCAACCCUGCCCUCUCUGGAAGCAUCAUUAAUGGUCUCCACCAAUACUGGCCCCAGUACUGCCUUAUUUUUCUUUUAUAACCUGGAGGAGCAUAGCUCCAGCACACAGGUAACAAAGCUGGGGUGGGAGGGUGACAGAGUGGAGAAUAACUGGUCUGUGAGCAUGCUACCUUGUUGAUACACAAAAAGAUAACGUAUAUAUUCUAUUUCAUGGUUCCUGCAGACACUGAGAUUGAAGCUGCUGGGACUGUUGCUGGUCAUGUUACUGUAUUAGUUUGAAUUUAAAAAGAAAACUCAGUGACAGUUACAGUUUAUUGGCUUAUCAAUUCCUCAGUCUUGCUAUGUUACACCACAUCAUUUUUAUUAGCCCCAUAUCCAGAAAGUUAUCACUAUCACCAGAAAAGAGCAGUUACAUUGUCUCAGGUGAUCUAGACACAUUGUAGAAAUUGCUCUAAGAUUGGCAGUUUUCUUGUGACGUUCUGAUGCUUUUCUUUUUUGGGGGUGUGUGUGUGAUGUGUUUUAGUUUGGGAAAAAAAAUGCCACUAGCUGCCCCAGUUUCACUUACCAGAAGUAACAGGAAUAAAUGAUAGAUGACUUGGAAACUGGCCUUACUCGUUCUGUUCAGAUGCCAAUAGUUUUAAUCAGAGUUACCUUUCCUGAGUCAUGAGUAAUGAGUUCAUGAGUACUUUCCUUGUGAGGCCAUUUAGAAUAUGCUUCCUCUGAAAUAAUUAGUCCCCUUCCCACUGAACUAAUUCUGAGCUACCAGGCAGCAUUCUAUAUAGGUCAUUUCUGGGUUAAACCUUUAGUCUUCUGCUGUUCCAGGGUUGAUAUUGAGUGAACACUUUGCAAUUUAAUAAUAACUAUAGAGAAAUACUAUACACAAUGCACAGCCCAUCAGACCAUCUCAAAGUGUUCCACAAAGGUGGGUGGUUUUCUCCAUACUUUUAAAAAGGAGGAAAUGGAAUCGGAGAGAGGUAGAGUGACUGCCCAAGUUCACAUUCUGAGGCAGUGACAGAACCAGGAUAGAAUACGUCUCCUCACGCCCAGUUUCGAGCAAAAAUCACUUUAAAAACAAAAAAACACCUGCUUCCUCUAAAGCAGAGUAGCCUUGGAUUUUCUGUUUCAUUUUAAUUUGGAAUAUUGACAUCUCUCCUAAAAUAUUUUACUUUAAUUACAGCCACAUCAUAGCCAAUCCUAAUUAAUCCAGUAUCUUUAAUUAUAGCCAGUCAUUGCAGAUGAGCGCUAUGGAUUGUUUCAGAGGGAAACACAAAUUACUUUCUGAUUUGUCAUUUUAUAUUUUUAAUCAGUAACAGCAAAGAAUUUCACCCUGACUUCACGUAUGUUAGUGUGCAUGAUGUGUAAUCUACUCAGGCCUUUUGCAUGCUCAUGCAUUAUGAAUAUUUUACAAGACAUGUGUGCAUGCAUAUUUAAUAGCAGGACUGAGCCCUAGCUACUUAAAACUCCCUGAUGCUGGACCAAAUCCUGAAGGCCUUAACCUAGCUGUGACUCAGUGGGAGGCUUGCCAGAGUAAGGGCUGCAAAAUGCAACUCACUAUCAGGCAGUGAAAAUUAAACAGUUUUUGCAUUUUUCACCAUUUUUAUUGUAAAUCAGUAAUUUGGAAUUUUUUGGUUUAUUUUUGCAUUUAUUGGUGUUACAGCAAUAAAAUAUUGAUGUAAUCUUGAUAUACAAUCAAGCACAAAGAGAAUAUAUUACAGUCAUUGCCAAAAUUUGUCAAUAAAAAGUUCUCAGAAAACAUCUGGGUACGUGCUUAUCAAUGAUGAAAAUGGCAAACUGAAGGGGACUGUUCUUGUGUUUAGCUUUUAUAGGCUUCUUG